AGACGCGGCACCAAAAAGUUCCAUCGGAUAUGGAUUUUGCGUUUUCACGUUAGAGGCACUGACUGUCGUGGAGAAAAACAUCCAAGAUACCUUUUCAGAAAACGGGAACCACCCUUUGGUAAAGCUCGUAGCUAACGAAAAGCUGAAAUCAGCUUACAAGAAGAACAAAAGACUAGUUUCAUCGUAUACAGAAUCCGUCCUCGUCAAGGAAGCGUGUUCAGUGAU